rnacentral:rRNA from 1 species
UACAGAGGGUGCUAGCGUUGUUCGGAAUUACUGGGCGUAAAGGGCGCGUAGGCGGCUCGUUUAGUCGGGUGUGAAAUCCCGGGGCUCAACCCCGGAACUGCAUUCGAUACUGGCGGGCUAGAGACCGGAAGAGGUGGGUGGAAUACCCAGUGUAGAGGUGAAAUUCGUAGAUAUUGGGUGGAACACCGGUGGCGAAGGCGGCCUGCUGGGCAGUUGCUGACACUGAGGCGCGACAGCGUGGGGAGCAAACAGG